GAGUUUGAUCAUGGCUCAGAUUGAACGCUGGCGGCAUGCCUUGCACAUGCAAGUCGAACGGCAGCACGGGUGCUUGCACCUGGUGGCGAGUGGCGAACGGGUGAGUAAUGCAUCGGAACGUACCCGGAAGUGGGGGAUAACGUAGCGAAAGUUACGCUAAUACCGCAUAUUCUGUGAGCAGGAAAGCGGGGGAUCGCAAGACCUCGCGCUUCCGGAGCGGCCGAUGUCGGAUUAGCUAGUUGGCGGGGUAAAGGCCCACCAAGGCGACGAUCCGUAGCGGGGUCUGAGGAGGA
rnacentral:rRNA from 1 species